GACGAACGCUGGCGGCGUGCCUAAUACAUGCCAGUAGAACGCUGAAGGAGGAGCUUGCUUCUCUGGAUGAGUUGCGAACGGGUGAGUAACGCGUAGGUAACCUGCCUGGUAGCGGGGGAUAACUAUUGGAAACGAUAGCUAAUACCGCAUAAGAGUAGAUGUUGCAUGACAUUUGCUUAAAAGGUGCAAUUGCAUCACUACCAGAUGGACCUGCGUUGUAUUAGCUAGUUGGUGGGGUAACAGCUUACCAAGGCGACGAUACAUAGCCGACCUGAGAGGGUGAUCGGCCACACUGGGACUGAGACACGGCCCAGACUCCUACGGGAGGCAGCAGUAGGGAAUCUUCGGCAAUGGACGGAAGUCUGACCGAGCAACGCCGCGUGAGUGAAGAAGGUUUUCGGAUCGUAAAGCUCUGUUGUAAGAGAAGAACGAGUGUGAGAGUGGAAAGUUCACACUGUGACGGUAUCUUACCAGAAAGGGACGGCUAACUACGUG
rnacentral:rRNA from 1 species